rnacentral:rRNA from 1 species
UACGUAGGGUGCGAGCGUUAAUCGGAAUUACUGGGCGUAAAGCGUGCGCAGGCGGUUUUGUAAGCCAGAUGUGAAAUCCCCGGGCUCAACCUGGGAAUGGCAUUUGGGACUGCAAGGCUUGAGUGCGGCAGAGGAGACUGGAAUUCCUGGUGUAGCAGUGAAAUGCGUAGAUAUCAGGGGGAAUACCGAUGGCGAAGGCAGGUCUCUGGCUGGACACUGACGCUCAUGCACGAAAGCGUGGGGAGCAAACAGG